rnacentral:rRNA from 1 species
AGGACGAACGCUGGCGGCGUGCUUAACACAUGCAAGUCGAACGGAAAGGCCCGCUUGCGGGUACUCGAGUGGCGAACGGGUGAGUAACACGUGGGCAACCUGCCCUCAGCUUCGGGAUAACACUUGGAAACAGGUGCUAAUACCGGAUAAUAACCUUUCAUCGCAUGGUGUGGGGUUCAAAGUUUUUCGGCUGGGGAUGGGCCCGCGGCCUAUCAGCUUGUUGGUGGGGUAAUGGCCUACCAAGGCGACGACGGGUAGCCGGCCUGAGAGGGCGACCGGCCACACUGGGACUGAGACACGGCCCAGACUCCUACGGGAGGCAGCAGUGGGGAAUAUUGCGCAAUGGGCGGAAGCCUGACGCAGCGACGCCGCGUGAGGGAUGACGGCCUUCGGGUUGUAAACCUCUUUCAGCUCUGACGAAGCGCAAGUGACGGUAGGAGCAGAGAAGCACCGGCCAACUACGCGCCAGCAGCCGC